rnacentral:misc_RNA from 1 species
CCCGAAACCAAUUCAAAUAAGGAAAUAAAAUAAUUAACUUCCUCCAAUUCAGCAUUGUAUAUGAGGAUAUAAUCUACUCCUAAUCAACUCAUAUACAAGAAAAUCAACUACUACUUUAAGACUUGUAAAUCUUUUUAUAUAAAUGAAGGAUUGUUAAGUAACUUAAUCAAUCAAUUAAAAAUAUGUUGAAAACUCACAAAAUCAAAUAUUCAAAAUCCACAAAAUAAAUGAUGUUGAUGACGCUGAUGACAUCUUUUUUCCUCCGCUAUGACAGUUGAUGACGCUGAGGUAGAGGCUGCUAUUUUUGUAGUUGGAAGGGCUGUGGAAGCAGGCUUCACGCAUGUUCAUCUUGAAUAGGACUCUUUUAUCUUUAGUACGCCAUGUGCUGUCGAGGAAAGUCCCUCUCACUUACUAUGGAACCCACGUUUAGAUUCAGUGAAGUCAUGUGGUUAGAGAGUCCUAUAGUGUAGCCCAUGCUUUAGCUAAGCUUGCCUUUUCUUGUGAAGAAGUAGAGAUGAUUUGGAUGAAAG